CAGGAUGAACGCUAGCGGCAGGCCUAAUACAUGCAAGUCGUACGGUAACGUGCCCCCGUUCGGGGGCGAUGAGAGUGGCGGACGGGUGCGUAACGCGUAUGCAACCAACCCCCGACAGGCGGACAGCCGGUGGAAACGCCGGAUAAGACGCCAUGCGACCCCAGGAGGGCAUCCUCUUGGGGCCAAAGCCUUCGGGCGGUCGGGGACGGGCAUGCGUGCCAUUAGAUGGUCGGCGGGGUGACGGCCCACCGAGUCGACGAUGGCUAGGGGAUCUGAGAGGACGGUCCCCCACACUGGUACUGAGACACGGACCAGACUCCUGCGGGAGGCAGCAGUAAGGGAUAUUGGUCAAUGGGCGGAAGCCUGAACCAGCCAUGCCGCGUGGAAGGGAAUGAGGCCCUACGGGUCGUGAACCUCUUUUGGCCGGGGACAAGGGCGCGCACGCGAUGCGCGCUUGAGGGUACCGGCAGAAUAAGCGUCGGCUAACUCCGUGCCAGCCGCCGC
rnacentral:rRNA from 1 species